rnacentral:rRNA from 1 species
GACGUAGGGCGCGAGCGUUGUCCGGAUUUAUUGGGCGUAAAGAGCUCGUAGGCGGCUUGUUGCGUCAGCUGUGAAAACUCAGGGCUUAACCCUGGGCCUGCAGUGGGUACGGGCAGACUAGAGUGCGGUAGGGGAGCGGGGAAUUCCUGGUGUAGCGGUGAAAUGCGCAGAUAUCAGGAGGAACACCAGCGGCGAAGGCGCCGCUCUGGGCCGUAACUGACGCUGAGGAGCGAAAGCAUGGGUAACAAACAGG